rnacentral:rRNA from 1 species
UACGUAGGGGGCGAGCGUUAUCCGGAAUUAUUGGGCGUAAAGGGUUCGCAGGCGGCUAAACAAGUCAGGUGUGAAAGGUCGAGGCUUAACCUCGGUAAGCAUUUGAAACUGUCUAGCUUGAGUUAAGGAGAGGAAAGAGGAAUUCCUAGUGUAGCGGUGAAAUGCGUAGAUAUUAGGAGGAAUACCAGUGGCGAAGGCGACUUUCUGGCCUUAAACUGACGCUGAGGAACGAAAGCGUGGGUAGCAAACAGG